CGGAAUAGUAUGAGCCUGGAUAACCUGUGGUUUGUGUUGAAUAUGCACUAUGGUUAUAAUCAAGAGUUGAUCCUGGACCACCACUUUGCUGACAGUUUGAUAAUGAACUUGAAUUUACAACACUGUUACUGUUUACACUUGAACCGCUAAAUCCAGUUGGAUUAUCAUCUGAGCCAAUCAUUCCCCAAUAACAAUUUAGAUUACCAGUUCCCUGUGAACCUGUUGUUGGUGUUGCUGUUGUACUUCCCAUAAUUAUCAUUUGUCAAUCGGAUAAAAAAAUUAACAGGUUAACAACACAAACAAGAUGGGGAAGACGAUCUAAACGGUGCAGACGAUGAAGACGAGAAAGACAAAGAAGACGGAGAAGGACAGAGAAGACGAAAUCGACGGAAAUUCUUGAAAUGGAAGCAAACAAACAGAUUCUCAUCUUUGAUCAUCUUUAUUUUGAAGACAAAAAGUCCCUUGGAAGAAGAUGAAGCCAGAAAGAAAGAGAUGGGAAAAAGGUUUUUAAUCUAAUUUCACACCAAUUAACACUGAAGGAGAGGGCAAACAAUUAAUCAAAGACAAAUAAACACAAAGCUAUAAAUAAGAUGGACAUUUCAACUAUCAAAGCUCAAGAAAAUGCAUUUGGCUCUAAGCAUUACAUUCAUUGCUUUUUAUUUACUUUCAUGGAUUUUUUUGCUUCUUCUGGUGAAAGGAAAAAGUUGAAAAAUGAAACUUAUUUAGUUAAUUCAUUUCAAUGGGACAUAAGCUGGAGAUGAUUGGAUCAUGCAAUAAACAAAGUAAACAUGGAAACAAGAAAAGAAGCUGAUAAAAGGCGAAGAGAGAUCGAAAUGAUGAUUUAACAGCAAUAAGACAAAAUUGAAAUAUGAUUUCAAUUUUACCAGCUGAUUGAUGAUUUCUAGUCUUGUUUAUCUGCGUUCAUGUUUUUACGCUAUUAUAUUCACACAUUUGCCAUUAAUCUUGACUUCAUCUCAUGUCUAAAGGAUCAUGAUGAUCAUCAAGAUGAUAAUGUUUACAUCUGUGAAGCCCAAAAUUCCUACAAAACAAUUGCCUUUUUUCAUCUUCAUCUUCUUUCUUUAUAACCAAAUUGGACAAUAAAUAACCAUUUCAAUAUCAAAGUGUUGGCCUUUGCUGCUGCUGUUGCUGUUGCUGUAAAUGUAAAUAUCUUUACCAGUGAAAAGAGAUUCCCUUUCAAGCUAAAAAUCCUUCUCAUCAUCAUCAUUAUCAUCAUCAUCUUCAAUCUUCUGCUUUCUCCUUCAUCGUUUAACUCCAUGUGAGUCCCAUACAAGUUAUGCAAUGGCAAUUGAUCUCGACUUUUUCCUUAUCAUCAUCUCUUCCUGAAUAUCUUCAACCUUCAAUCUACUUUAUAGGUCUUACCUCUCAUCCUGUUUAUCUUCAUGUUCACCAACAUCACCCUCAUCAUGAUGAUCAUCAUUUCAUCUUCCUCCUUCACUCUCUUCAUUCAUUGACGCCAAAUGUAACCCAUCUUAACUGAAUGCUUUUAGCUAAUUGCUUCCAAAAAGGAUUCUUGGUUGUUGGUUACAAAACAAAAGGCUGAUCAUCAUGAGCCAGGUAGAAGAGCCCAGAAUAUUCACAAUGAAACAGUCAAAAUAUUCAACUCUUUUUUUCCUACUUUUCUCAUCCAUCUAACAACAAAAAUGGUUUCAGUUUUACUUUGCUAAAAUAUUGUAUCCAAUAAGGUAAUAAUGAUUAGGGUAAACUUGUUCACUGAUUUACAAAGUGUUUGACAAACAAUUAUUUUCCAAUGAAUUACUCGACUCAUAUUAGCCGUAAUUUACUUUGUUUCAGCUAAUUAACCUUUUCUCUACUCAUUCCAAUUAAUACUUACCUUUGUUUACAUUGAAAAUAGCAUAGUAUUACAUGAUCAAGAUGUUAAGGGUAAACAUCCAUUAAAGACUUGUAUUCAAUGAUACUCUGGAACCUGUUAUUUUGAUAAUAAAUUGUUUCAUUUAAUCACAAGAGUAUAGACAAUAUUUUCCCAUAACUACAACCUAAAAUGAUUAAAUAAAUUGGCACCAAAAAAGGACCUUCCAAUUUGGUUAAUCAAAUACAUGGGAAAAAAUGGAACCAUCAAAAGCAAUCCUCACGAGAUUCAUGGAAACAAUUUUCCAAUCUAACAAAAAUCAAUCAAACAACAAAUGUAUACAAAGAUAUCAACAAUUAUUAAACAAUUGGCUAUUAAUUGUUUGGCAAAUUAGUACAAAAAUCAAGUGAAAUAAACCAACAAGUAAAUCCAAGCCAAAAAGCAUGUAACAAUCAAAACCAAGUAACCAGAAUGUACAAGUUGACCAGUUUUGGUUGAACAGCUUAACCCAUAAUUUUUAUUCAACUCCAAUUAAAUGGAAAAGCUGAUCACAAUUGAUUUAGCUAGUUAAUCAUGUAUCAUGUUAAUUUAAAAUGAAUCAAGUUAAUAAUGGUUGUAACCAAGAAAGCUUUGAAGCUUAUUAUUAUUCAGUUGCAAGUGAAGGCCUGAAAAAAAAGUACGAGAAUGAAAUGAAUAUAUUAAAUGUAGUAUAAAUAUCA